UGUUCGGCCACCUAGUCACAAGAAGGGAAGUUGAUCAUCUUUCCUUAUGGCGGUGAUCAAGAGCAGCACAAUCGCCGCUCUCUUGGUUGUAGCCAUCCUGUCCUCACUGUCUCCACGCUACGAAGCUGGCGGCUGCUUGGGGAAACCCUGCCCAGAGCCGCCUCCGAAACAAAACUGCUUCUCAGCCUAUUCCGUAGAGCACUGUGACCGUCAGGGCUGCGGCUAUACCUGUUCCGAGCACGGUUUCCGUGAAGGUGGCUGGUGUGAGGACAGGCGCAUGACAUCAGCAUUGUGCUGCUGCCGUUAUUAGAAAUUAAUUAAUGAGAUAAGAUGCGUGAUGCAUAUGCAUCCACCAUCCUUCUGGUGCAUGCAUAUUGUUUAAUAAAAUCUGGGUUGAUCUGCUAGGUUUGCCCUAUCAACUGUAUCUUUUUGUAUCCUAUAAGUAAUAAAUCUGGUGUACCGAGUGACGGUGGUGUGUAUGAUUU